rnacentral:misc_RNA from 1 species
UAUGUGAUGUGCCAGACUUCUGAUCCAGAUUGGCAUCAGAAGAGUCGACGCAUAAAACAGUUAGUUGCUACCGGCGUCAUUGGUCACAUCAGCAGUGGCAUUUCCAAAGCACUACUUUCACUCAUUGACGAACCCCAAGAAUGACGUGGACGUCAUUUUCCACAGGAGGGAAGUAUGUGGCAGUAACAGAUUUUGUAUAUUUUAACAUGUUGUAAAUUGAUUAGAAUUCAUGUAAAUAAAUGCUUUAAAUUUCAUUGCACAGCUUUAGUCAUUUUAUUUUAUCAUGAUACUUAGCCUGCCUUAACUAACUAUCACUCACAGCCAGUUCACUGAGCAUGCUUACCGCAUGUUCACCACACAGCACAAUAACAUAAGCCCUUCCCCACCUACGUUCUUUUGUCUUUAUAGCCAGCUUGGGCAAUCAGCGUAGCUUUACACUUUUACACAUUACAAGGUUUGUGGUCACUCCACAUUCAAUCUUCAGUGUGUCAACAUGUCUUGUUCAUUUUCUGGACAUACCUUUGGAUCAUAUCUUUGGAUCAUAUUCUAAGGCAAACAUUUAAUACAGAUACAGCAGCGUCCCCAGGUGUGAAAUAAACCUAGGCCCACACACCUGGGUUGUCGUUUUCACC